AUUUAAACCAAAAAAAAAAAUGUUAGUAACUUUAUUUUAACUUUAGUUUUAUUUUUUAAAUUAAAUAAUCAAUACCAUCAAAUUUAAAUAUGUUUAGCUUAAAUAGAAGCAUAGAAGAGAUGCAAAAAAUGUAAUAAUAUGGUGGAGUAUUUGCCAAAGGAGAAGACGAUGAUCAGAGUGGUAUGACUCUAGCAAGAAAAAGAGCCAUAUUCUUAGACAGAGUUUAGGAAAAACGUUGUAUUGAACUACUUUUGUCAGAGAAGAUUAAAGUGGUUUGGGUAUCAGCAUGUAGAAGCAAGAAAACUUGGAGAGAGCACAUUACAUAUGAAAAACCUGGUCAGCAUAGCUAAACGCAAACUCGAUAUAUAUGGUAAAGACCUGAUGAUGGCUGUCAUAAAAUUUGGUGAAAAAACCUAGCAAAAAUCUAGAUAAUUUUCUAUUGUACUAUGAAAGAUGAUACUCGAGCUAUUUUAAAUCUUGAAACAACAAAAACUGAGUGAAACCUUGGUUUUAUUUUAUAAAUUAAAAUAAAUCACCACAUCAAACAUGUGAUAAAUAAAGCAAAUAUAAUCCUAGGUAUAAUUAAGCGAACAUUCAAACUGACCUAUAUUUGCUAGAUUGUAUACAGUUUUUGUUCAAGCUCUUUUAGAAUACUGUGCAUCUGUUUAGUUUUUUUCAAAAAAAAAGACAAAGGCUUUAGAAGUUGUUCAAAAAAGAGCAACCAAGUUUAUAUCAGCAAUAAGAAACUUACAAGAAACGUCUAACUUUAUUUCAAUCUGCAAACUCUAGAACAGAAAAGGAAAAAAGGGGACUUGAUACAAUAUUUUAAAACAGUCAAGGAAUUCAAUGAAGUUAAUUGGUAUCAUAACAAUACCUUAUCACAUUCCUGAUCAGCACUGCAGGACCUCCAACCAAUGUUAGAGGGUCUAAAUCAAGAUUGUCAAGGCUAUUCUCAAGAAACCAAACAAGAUAUAACUUCCUUACAAACAGGAUUACAACCUUAUGGAAAAAGCUAUCAUUGUAAGUGAUUGAUUCAAAAAGCGUAAACAAAUUCAAGAAUUGAUUUGACAAGUUCAUAACUGCCCAAGUGGCAUCUGCUAAAAUUUGCAAGACAGACUUUUAAAUUUAAAUUGUAUUUUGAUUUUUUGAUUGUAUUUUGAUUGCAGAAUAUUACAUUAUAAUAUAUAUUACAA